CAGUCGCCGCGGUAACACGUAGGGCGCAAGCGUUGUCCGGAAUUAUUGGGCGUAAAGAGCUCGUAGGCGGUCUGUCGCGUCUGGUGUGAAAUCCCGAGGCUCAACCUCGGGCUUGCAUCGGGUACGGGCAGACUAGAGUGCGGUAGGGGAGACUGGAAUUCCUGGUGUAGCGGUGGAAUGCGCAGAUAUCAGGAGGAACACCGAUGGCGAAGGCAGGUCUCUGGGCCGCAACUGACGCUGAGGAGCGAAAGCAUGGGGAGCGAACAGGAUUAGAUACCCCUGUAGUCCCUGUCUCUUAUAC
rnacentral:rRNA from 1 species